GGGCCCGUAGCUCAGCAAGGUAGAGCGGCGGGCUCUUAACCCGUAGGUCCGGGGUUCAAUUCCCCGCGGGCCCGCCA
rnacentral:tRNA from 1 species